rnacentral:rRNA from 1 species
AUACAGAGGGUGCAAGCGUUAAUCGGAAUUACUGGGCGUAAAGCGCGCGUAGGCGGUUUAAUCAGUCGGAUGUGAAAGCCCCGGGCUCAACCUGGGAACUGCAUUCGAUACUGUUAAGCUAGAGUAUGCUAGAGGGAAGUGGAAUUCCAGGUGUAGCGGUGAAAUGCGUAGAUAUCUGGAGGAACAUCAGUGGCGAAGGCGACUUCCUGGACCAAUACUGACGCUGAGGUGCGAAAGCGUGGGGAGCAAACAGUAUUAGAUACCCUAGUAGUCC